rnacentral:lncRNA from 1 species
GCCUGAAGCAACUCCUAAACCGUGGUGGCAGUUUUCAGAGCUUCCACUUCGGCUUCGAUUAGAGAAUCUUUAGUCUUCGCGUUUCCUUUGAUCAAUACAUCAUGGACUUGUACUGGGACUCGCUCAGUUGAUAAGCGGAGAAAGAUUUUGGCCCGGUCCGACUGCAUUCGGGCCUGCCGAGUAAGAGGUGGUUGUUCAUCUUCAUCGUCGUCCUCUUCUUCUUCUU